CUUGUGUGUGCAGGAUCAGCGCGAGAUAAGUUUUCAUUCUAUGCACUAAGAAGCAUCAUAGAAGCAACGCUGUAGCCACAAAGCCAGAAGCCCAAAAUAAUCCAACUAAAGGGGGAAAAAAAUAAAAAUAAGACCAACGUUUGAGUGCAAGAGAAAAAAAACGAACUGUGCAAACAAUUGAAGCAAACAACAGGAUUCUGAAUCAAAAUUGAGCCCUCAGAUCCGAAGCCUGGAGCAGCCCAAAGCCUUGCUUAUUAGUUCAUCGUACUGGGGGGUAUGGAGUACAGCAGCUGGAGAAGUAUACACAGCUUCAGCACCAUGGAGAUGACCAUCGCAGAGAAAGACUGAAAUCGGCUGUUAUUCUGACUAACUCACUGUCCUUUCAAUCUACCCUGGCCAGCGUUUAAAUUGACCCAGUGAGGAACAGCAAAAGCCUCCAGAGCCUUGGAGAGAAGAGAAUGAGUGAAAACAGCUCUCUCCUCCAAUCUGGGCUGGCGUUUAAAUUGUCUGAACAGCAUACCACGCCUCUCACUAGGACCCAGACACCACUGCUGCAAAAAGGCAACAUGCCUGGACCACUCUGCCCAGUGACUUGCUCCAAGCCUAGAUUUCAGUGUCCAGCCUGAAGCUGCUCUCAGGCUCUUCAGAUCAGCUUGGAGACCAGAGCAUUCUAACCUCUCAGCUGGGCCAGUUCAACAAGCAUCAGAACUUCUCCUUUCAGCAUUCAGAGUGAUCCAACCUCACUCCAGGGCCAUCUGUAUGGGCAUCAGAACUCCAAUGAAGGGAAAAUCCUUAUCCAUGAAGGUUCGGAGAUGACUGGAACGAUUUUUUCCCUUUUUCUCUUUUUUCGAAUUUUAUCCUCAAAUGGACUGCCAAUCAUUCUUUUCCUUUUUUUUGUUUUAGUUUAGUUAGUGGGG